rnacentral:tRNA from 1 species
AAUAAGAUGCCUGAUAAAAAGGACUAUUUUGAUAGAAUAGAUGAUGUAUUCAAUAUACUCUUAUUA